CCUACGGGAGGCAGCAGUGGGGAAUUUUGCGCAAUGGGGGAAACCCUGACGCAGCAACGCCGCGUGCGGGACGAAGGCCUUCGGGUUGUAAACCGCUUUCAGCAGGGACGAAUUCCGACGGUACCUGCAGAAGAAGCCCCGGCUAACUACGUGCCAGCAGCCGCGGUAAUACGUAGGGGGCGAGCGUUAUCCGGAUUCAUUGGGCGUAAAGCGCGCGUAGGCGGCGCGUCAAGCGGGACCUCUAACCCCGGGGCUCAACCCCGGGCCGGGUCCCGGACUGGCGCGCUCGAGUGCGGUAGAGGCGG
rnacentral:rRNA from 1 species